UGGGGAAUAUUGGUCAAUGGGCGAAAGCCUGAACCAGCCAUGCCGCGUGAGUGAUGAAGGCCUUAGGGUUGUAAAGCUCUUUCGACGGGGAAGAUAAUGACGGUACCCGUAGAAGAAGCCCCGGCUAACUUCGUGCCAGCAGCCGCGGUAAUACGAAGGGGGCUAGCGUUGUUCGGAAUCACUGGGCGUAAAGCGCGCGUAGGCGGAUUGUUAAGUCAGGGGUGAAAUCCUGAGGCUCAACCUCAGAACUGCCUUUGAUACUGGCAAUCUUGAGUCCGGAAGAGGUAAGUGGAACUCCUAGUGUAGAGGUGAAAUUCGUAGAUAUUAGGAAGAACACCAGUGGCGAAGGCGGCUUACUGGUCCGGUACUGACGCUGAUGUGCGAAAGCGUGGGGAGCAAACAGG
rnacentral:rRNA from 1 species